rnacentral:rRNA from 1 species
AGCGAACGCUGGCGGCAGGCUUAACACAUGCAAGUCGAACGGGCAUCCUCGGAUGUCAGUGGCAGACGGGUGAGUAACACGUGGGAACGUACCCUUCGGUUCGGAAUAACUCAGGGAAACUUGAGCUAAUACCGGAUACGCCCUCUUGGGGCAAGGUUUACUGCCGAAGGAUCGGCACGCGUGUGAUCAGCUUGUUGGUAGGGUAACGGCCUACCAAGGCGACGAGCAGUAGCUGGGCUGAGAGGAUGAUCAGCGACACUGGGACUGAGACACGGCCCAGACUCCUGCAGGAGGGAGCAGUGGGGAAUAUUGGACAAUGGCCGCAGGCCUGAACCAGCCAUGCCGGGUGAGUGAUGAAGGCCUGAGAGAUGUAAUCCUCUCUUAUCCGGCACGAUAAUGACGGUACCGGAAGAAUAAGCCCCGGCUAACUACGUG